UUAAAUUGAAGAGUUUGAUCAUGGCUCAGAUUGAACGCUGGCGGCAGGCCUAACACAUGCAAGUCGAACGGUAACAGGAAGCAGCUUGCUGCUUUGCUGACGAGUGGCGGACGGGUGAGUAAUGUCUGGGAAACUGCCUGAUGGAGGGGGAUAACUACUGGAAACGGUAGCUAAUACCGCAUAACGUCGCAAGACCAAAGAGGGGGA
rnacentral:rRNA from 1 species